ACUGCUAUGUCACAUAUGGGACAGUAAGUGGCAGAGAGGAGAGAGGCUAUGUUUCCAUUCAGUGCUCUGCCUUUUGAACAUCUGAAUGCUUAGUAAGCUAACUUU
ensembl:snoRNA LOC120103338 small nucleolar RNA SNORA17